GGUUCUGGGAAAUAAGAAAUCAUUAGAAAAAGAUUUCUGCCUUCUAGAAGUACACAGUCUAAUGGUGAGAUAGGCAGGAGCCUGACAUCAUGGUGAGCAUCGAGAAAGGAAUAACCUAAGCUGAAGACACGCCUUUUCAGGAGGCCAAGUUCCACGUUCUGUGCAUGCUUUUGGCGAAAGUCAGGUGCCGAGACAUGAACUUUGGUCUUCUCUGCAAUCCAUCUGGAGCAUUCACUGACAACAUCGACUUUGAAGUUGCACUGACCUGGCCAGCCCUGCCACUUACCAGGCUGUGGCUUGCCUUUUCACUUCUUGUGUCCUGUUUAAGAAAUAUCUGCUAUCCCAAGCAUCUGGCAUCUUUCUUGACAUAUGUAGCAGUUGCUUUUUGACAGCUUGCUUCUUCAGUGAAUGAAUAAAUUAAUAAAGAGAAAUGUGAUGUUCAGUGAUCCAUUUUGCAGAUAACACUAACAAAGUUGACCUUAGAAUUGGAGUGCCUGGGUUAGAACCCUGCUGGUACCACCUGCUUACUGCAUGCUUCUGAUGUGAGUUCAGGAGAAGACACUGGCAAGGACAGCAAAGAACAGGAGAACACUCUAGCUUCCCUGAUAGCAUUCAAGGUGCUGUCCAAACUGACUGUGAUGGCACCCUCCAGACAGACAGCGAUGCCACAUGUUCAAGAUGGCAGAAUCACUAUCAGCUUCAAUUCCUGAAUGACUGCAGAGCAAAAUUUCUUACCUGCAACAUACACUCUAUUUUCAGCCUCCCUGGACUGUUACAUAAUGAUACAUAAAAAUAUUUCUUGUGUUGAGGCAUCCCAAAUUUGAUUUAUUUGUCAUCACAGUCUAUCCUAUGAAUAUAUUUCUGAUCCAAAUAAUGCUAGAUUCAUGAGAGUUUAUAGUCCAGAGAUUUUUUUUUUUUUUUUGAGACAGAAUCUGUCUCCCAGGCUGGGGUGCAGUGGCAUAAUCUUAGCUCACUGCAACCUCUGCCUCCCGGGCUCAAGUGAUCCUCCCUCCUUAGCCUCCAUGAGUAGCUGGGACCACAGGUGUGCACCACCACACCCCGCUAAUUAUUUUGUAUUUUUUGCAGAGGGGGGUUUCACCACAUUGCCCAAGCUGGUCUCAAACUCCUAGACUUAAGGGAUCUGCCUGCCUUGGCCUCCCAAAAUGCUGAAAUUACACUUGUUAGCCAUAGUAAUAGUUCCUAGCCAUAGUCCGGAGAUAUUUUAAAAACUUUAGUGUGAGUUAUUUCUCUUUGCUAUAAUUCUCUCAUGCAUUUUGAAAACCUUUUCUGCCAUACAGUGGUUUUUGGGAAGUCCUUUUGGACAGACAUAUCACAGGAUGGAGAAACUAAAAAGAGAGAAUGCAUUAAAGAAAAAAUAGUACUUCGUAUUUCAGAAAUUACAAAAGGGUGUCAUGCCCCACAGCAUGGUGGGCAGUCAUUUGUAACCCACAGAACAUUGAGUUUCUAAAAUUUGAGUGUUUUUAACUUACGAAGGCCAACUUUACUGAUGAAGUGAUUACCCCAAAUAUGUGAAAUCCAUAUUUCAAGUACAAUAGUAGGAAAUUGGAAAUGGAUAGUUCAUUGUCAGUGUAUGAAAAACCUACUGAUUUUUUACGUUGAUUUUAUAUACUGCAACUUUAUUGAAUUCUCAACAAAUGGUGUUGAAAAAACUGGAUGUCCUCAUGAAGAAGAAUGAAAUUGAACACAUCACAUCCCAUAUACAAGAAUCAACUCAAAGUGGGUUGAAGACUUAAAUAUAAGAUCUGAAACUAUAAAACUAUUAGAAAUAAAAAACGUAAGAGGAAAGCUCCACACACUGAUCUGGACAAAGAUUUUUUUGACCAUGACCCUAAAAGCACAGGCAACAAAAACAAAAAGAGACCAUUAAUCUAUUAGUUAUUGUAUUGCAUCAAACUAAAAAGCUUACGCACAGCAAAGGAAACAAUUUACAAAAUAAAGAGACAACCCAUAGGUUAAGAGAAAAAUAUGUGCAAAUAAUACAUCUGUUAAGGGGCUCUAAUAUCCAAAAUACAGAGAGAAAUUAAACAACUCAAUAAUAAGAAAACAAGUGAUUACAUUAAAAAUAGUCAAAUGACUUGAACAGAUAUUUCUCAAAAGAAGACACAUAAAUGGCCAGUGGGUUAUUAAUAACAAAGCCCAAUAUCCCUAUCACUAAUCAUUGGGGAAAUGCAAAUUGAAACCACAAUUAAAUAUCACCUCAGAUCUGUCAGAAUGGCUAUUAUCAAAAAGAUGAAAUUUAAAUGUUGG
rnacentral:lncRNA from 1 species